UCACGGCAGCGCUGGGGAUUGGCCUGUCUCGUCUCCUUCCUCACCGCACGGCAAGCCUCCCCCCUCUACCCCCGAUCCCAACCAAUCCGCAUCGACGGAUUUCGAUUGCUUCCAGCUCGGGCCUUCCAAUCGCUCGCACGCUUCCGUUUGCUUCGCAUUAUGAGUGCGCUUAACCUAGCAUUUGAUCUGAUUUAAUUUAAUUCUGCCGCUCCGCCCGAUUCCGAGGAGUCGACGGUAGUGGUGUUUGCGCGGCCAUGUCGGCCUCGUCCUCGGCGGCGGCGGCCCUGGAUGCCUGGUGGGACGAUGUGAACAACUCGCCGGUGUGGCAGGACCGUACCUUCCACGCCCUCGCCGCGCUCUACGGCGUCGUUGCAGUCGUAGCCCUAGUCCAACUGAUAAGAAUCGAGUGUAGGGUACCUGAGUUUGGGUGGACAACGCAGAAGGUGUUUCAUUUUCUAAACUUCAUUGUAAACAGCGUGAGGUCAACUGUGUUUGUACUGCGACGGAAUGUGCAACUUGUACACCCUGAGAUAUUCCAACAUGUGCUUAUUGAUUUGCCUGGCCUAGCUUUCUUCACGACCUAUGCUCUGUUGGUGCUCUUUUGGGCUGAAAUCUACUAUCAGGCACGUGCAAUGUCGACUGAUGGGCUCCGACCAGCUUUCUAUACGAUCAAUGGAGUGAUCUAUACCAUUCAGAUAGUACUGUGGUUGCUCACGUGGUGGAAACCAGUUCAAGCUGUGAUCAUUUUGUCGAAGAUGUUCUUUGCAGCUACAUCCUUAUUCGCUGCUUUUGGUUUCCUUCUCUACGGAGGGAGGCUCUUCCUGAUGUUGCAGCGUUUCCCUGUUGAGUCAAAAGGUCGGCGUAAAAAGUUGAAUGAGGUUGGUUAUGUGACUACCAUAUGCUUUGGUUGCUUCUUGAUCAGAUGUGUAAUGUUGGUCCGCGUGCACGGCUCCUCGACGGCGCGGAGCAGGAGACGAGGGUAGCGCGGAGCAAGAAAGGGCGCAACAGCUCUGGCGUGGAGAAGAAUGGGAGAGGUGAGGCGAUGGCGCGGUGGUGGGCGGAGGCGGAGUCACGAGUCUGCUUCUCUCUUUUAGCUGCUGGUUGAAAUUGUACCAUCGUCUCUGGUGCUGUUCAUCUUGAGGAAACUACCGCCAAAACGCGGGAUUGCACAGUACCAUCCAAUCCAUUAGACAGUAACAUCGAUGGUCCAUUUCUAACAGUUCCACCCAAGUGUUAAAGGAAAAAAAAAAGGCAAAUAUGAGAUAUGUUGUAGUGCCUUUUUUCUAGGUUAGUAGCUUUGUUGCAAAGAAAUCUUUCCUGAGUAUUGCAAAUUAUCUUGUUAAAAUUGUAAACUCCCGCUGUCACUGCAAUACCAAAUGUCACUAACACAACUGGUUCACCGAUACGGGUUUCCAUCUGUAAACUUAAGAACAAUCAAGGACUGAUUAUUUCUGGCAAUGGAAAAAGAAAAUGUGUUGAUAA